rnacentral:rRNA from 1 species
GUUGUAUGGUUAAGUGACUAAGCGUACACGGUGGAUGCCUUGGCAGUCAGAGGCGAUGAAGGACGUAUUAACUUGCGAUAAGCCCAGAGAAGGUAGUAAAAACCGGUGACUCUGGGAUUUCCGAAUGGGGAAACCCACGUGCAUAAGUACGUAUCGUGUUGUGAAUACAUAGCAACACGAGGCGAACCGGGGGAACUGAAACAUCUAAGUACCCCGAGGAAGAGAAAUCAACCGAGAUUCCGGUAGUAGCGGCGAGCGAAACCGGAUUAGCCCUUAAGCUAGUUUGAUGUUAGGUGAAAGUUCUGGAAAGUUCUGCGAUACAGGGUGAUAGCCCCGUAACCGACAACAUCUUAUCAGUGAAAACGAGUAGGACGGGACACGUGUUAUCUUGUCUGAAUAUGGGGGGACCAUCCUCCAAGGCUAAAUACUCCUGACUGACCGAUAGUGAACCAGUACCGUGAGGGAAAGGCGAAAAGA